GACGAACCGUACAAACGUUAUUCGGAAUCACUGGGCUUAAAGGGUGCGUAGGCGGCGCGACAAGUUGGGUGUGAAAUCCCUCGGCUCAACCGAGGAACUGCGCCCAAAACUGUCGUGCUCGAGGGAGAUAGAGGUGAGCGGAACUUAGGGUGGAGCGGUGAAAUGCGUUGAUAUCCUAAGGAACACCGGUGGCGAAAGCGGCUCACUGGAUCUCUUCUGACGCUGAGGCACGAAAGCUAGGGUAGCGAACGGG
rnacentral:rRNA from 1 species